rnacentral:rRNA from 1 species
UAAAACGUAGGAGGCAAGCGUUAUCCGGAGUUACUGGGCGUAAAGCGCGUGUAGGUGGAUCGGUAAGUUACUUAUAAAAGCUCCUGGCUAAACUAGGAGAGGUUGAGUGAUACUGCCAGUCUUGAAUAGAGGAGAGGUUGACGGAAUUCCGCGUGUAGUGGUGAAAUGCGUAGAGAUGCGGAAGAACACCAGUGGCGAAGGCGGUCAACUGGCCUCAUAUUGACACUCAGACGCGAAGGCAUGGGUAGCGAACGGGAUUAGAAACCCCGGUAGUCCAUGCAAUAAACGAUGCACACUGAAUGUUCGUUGUCCUACGGGGCAAUGAGUGUUGAAGCUAACGCGUUAAGUGUGCCGCCUGGGGAGUACGGUCGCAAGGCUA